GCAGGAGUGUCGGAGCGGUCAAACGAGACGGACUCAAGAUCCGUUGGCUUAGUGCCUACGCAGGUUCGAAUCCUGUCUCCUGCA
rnacentral:tRNA from 1 species